GGCUCUGUAGCUCAGUGAUUAGAGUGUUGCUUUCUGAACCAAGGGUUGUGAGUUCAAGCCUCCCUUGAGCUG
rnacentral:tRNA from 1 species